UACGUAGGGGGCAAGCGUUGUCCGGAUUUAUGGGGCGUAAAGAGCGUGUAGGCGGCCUGACAGGUCUGCUGUGAAAACUCGAGGCUCAACCUCGAGAUGUCGGCGGAAACCGUCUGGCUAGAGUCCGGAAGAGGAGAGUGGAAUUCCUGGUGUAGCGGUGAAAUGCGCAGAUAUCAGGAAGAACACCUAUGGCGAAGGCAGCUCUCUGGGACGGUACUGACGCUGAGACGCGAAAGCGUGGGGAGCGAACAGG
rnacentral:rRNA from 1 species